rnacentral:rRNA from 1 species
CCUACGGGUGGCAGCAGUGGGGAAUAUUGCACAAUGGGGGAAACCCUGAUGCAGCGACGCCGCGUGAGCGAUGAAGUAUUUCGGUAUGUAAAGCUCUAUCAGCAGGGAAGAAAAUGACGGUACCUGACUAAGAAGCCCCGGCUAACUACGUGCCAGCAGCCGCGGUAAUACGUAGGGGGCAAGCGUUAUCCGGAUUUACUGGGUGUAAGGGGAGCGUAGACGGUCCUGCAAGCCAGAUGUGAAAGCCCGGGGCUUAACCCCGGGACUGCAUUUGGAACUGUAAGGCUAGAGUGUAGGAGAGGCAGGCGGAAUUCCUAGUGUAGCGGUGAAAUGCGUAGAUAUUAGGAGGAACACCAGUGGCGAAGGCGGCCUGCUGGACGAUAACUGACGUUGAGGCUCGAAAGCGUGGGGAGCAAACAGGAUUAGAUACCCGAGUAGUC